rnacentral:rRNA from 1 species
UACGUAGGGUGCGAGCGUUGUCCGGAAUUAUUGGGCGUAAAGAGCUCGUAGGCGGUCUGUCGCGUCGAUCGUGAAAACUUGGGGCUCAACCUUAAGCUUGCAGGCGAUACGGGCGGACUAGAGUACUUCAGGGGAGACUGGAAUUCCUGGUGUAGCGGUGAAAUGCGCAGAUAUCAGGAGGAACACCGGUGGCGAAGGCGGGUCUCUGGGCCGAUACUGACACUGAGGAGCGAAAGCGUGGGGAGCGAACAGG